rnacentral:tRNA from 1 species
AAGGGAGACCUAAUUCCGGUAGGAGACGAAAAAAAAGUAGUCCCAACCAAGAAUCAAUCCCAAAAGGUCGGAACGAGGUAUGAGGCUUUCAAACUAGGUUCUGGGUUCAUAAAAGACCUGAAUCAGGAACAAGGGCUAUUAGCUCAGGUGGUUAGAGCGCACCCCUGAUAAGGGUGAGGUCCCUGGUUCGAGUCCAGGAUGGCCCACCUGCACAGGUGGCAAAAACAAGAGAAGCUCCGAAUCAGCACCUUAUCUUAUAUACAUAUAUAAGAGAGAAUGCCGGCUCUGAGUACAGAGUCCAGAGGAACCUUGAAAACUGCAUAGAGCUAGGUGAAAAAGCCAAAAAAGAAGACCGCAA